rnacentral:rRNA from 1 species
GACGAACGCUGGCGGCGUGCUUAACACAUGCAAGUCGAACGGAAAGGCCCUGGUUUUGUGGGGGGCGCGAGUGGCGAACGGGUGAGUAACACGUGAGUAACCUGCCCUGUACUUUGGGAUAACUUCAGGAAACUGGGGCUAAUACCGGAUAGGAGCUCCUGCUGCAUGGUGGGGGUUGGAAAUUUUCGGCGGUUGGGGAUGGACUCGCGGCUUAUCAGCUUGUUGGGGGGGUAGUGGCUUACCAAGGCUUUGACGGGUAGCCGGCCUGAGAGGGUGACCGGCCACAUUGGGACUGCGAUACGGCCCAGACUCCUACGGGAGGCAGCAGUGGGGAAUAUUGCACAAUGGGCGGAAGCCUGAUGCAGCAACGCCGCGUGCGGGAUGACGGCCUUCCGGUUGUAAACCGCUUUCGCCUGUGACGAAGCGUGAGUGACGGUAAUGGGUAAAGAAGCACCGGCUAACUACGUG